UUGCUCAGUUGUGUCUGACUUCUUGCAACCCCAUGAACAGCAGCAUGCCAGGCCUCCCUGCCCAUCACCAACUCCCAGAGUUUACCCAAACUCAUGUCCAUUGAUCGGUGAUGCCAUCCCACCAUCUCAUCCUCUGUUGUCCCCUUCUCCUCCUGCCCUGAAUCCCUCCCAGCAUCAGGGUCUUUUCCAAUGAGUUAGCCCUUCGCAUCAGGUGGCCAAAGUACUGGAGUUUCAGCUUCAGCAUCAGUCCUACCAAUGAACACCCAGGACUGAUCUCCUUUAGGAUGGACUGGUUGGAUCUCCUUGCAGUCCAAGGGACUCUCAAAGGUCUUCUCCAACACCACAGCUCAAAAGCAUCAAUCCUUUGCCCUUAGCUUUCUUUAUAGUCCAACUCUCACAUCCAUACAUGACUACAUUUAAAGAAACAUUAAAAAUUAAUUUUAACUAUAUAUUUUAUUUAACCUAAUAUAUCCAAAUAUUGGGGCUUCCCUGGUGGCUCAGUGGUAAAGAAUCUGCCUGCAAUGCAGGAGAUGCCAGAGACAUGGGUUCAGUCCCUGGGUCAGGAAGAUUCCCUGGAGGAGGGCAUGGGAACCCACUCCAGUAUUCUUGCCUGGAGAAUCCCAUGGACAGAAGAGCCUAUUGGGGCCUCAGAGUCAGACAUGACUGAAGUGAUUGAGCACACACACAGACACACACACACACACACAUCCAUAUAUUAUCAUUCCAACAUGUAAUCAAUAACAACAAUUACCAGUAAGAUAUUUUUCACUUUUUCCCCCCAAAAAAGUAUAUUUUACAUUUACAACACAUGUCAAUUUGGAAGAUAAUUUUUCAAUGCAAAUACUUGAACUGUAAAAAGUUAAUUGUAGUUUUCAUAAAACUUACAGUUGAAAAAAUAGAUUCAUAUACUUGAAUUGUUUCAUACACAUUAAAAGUUUUUAAAAGCAUCAGUUUUUAAAUGUAAAAAAAGUUAAUUAAAAUAAAAUUUAAAAAUUAGUUUAUCAGAUACAUUUCAAGUGCUCAGUAGUUACAAAUGGCCAGUGGCUUUUGUGCUGGCCAAUAUGACCAUGAGACACUGACUGACCAGCCUCACUAAAUGCAGGAAAGGCCUUGGGGCAUUAGAUAUGGAGAACAGAUGCUAAGCAGCCAAAAGCAACUAUUUACCACUGUGACUGAGGGAAGGUAGUAUUUUUAUAUCUUCUAUGUUUUUGUCUGGUGAAGGAAGGUUAACUCCAGGGCAUUUCCUUUAUUUAGAAAAGAAAAGAAAACAAACUCAUAAUGAAAAGGAACUGCUAAGUAUUUCUACCAAGGGUUCUGUGGUAAGCCAUUCCUAAAGAUCAUGCGAGGGGAAAAUUGGUAUCUGUUCAAGGCAGUUAAGGUUUCCAAGUAGGAAAAAAGCUUGGCUCUAAUACAUAGUAACAGAAGGGUAUAAACUCAGUCUCUUGAGAUCACAUAUUUGAUUCAUGAGGCAGAGUUCUCCCCGCUUCAUGGGAAUUAAUAAUAAUCUUGUCACGGAAAUGGAGACAACACUUUUAAUAAAAUUCAAAACUGUGAUCAUCAGUUAUUCUCUCCCAACCAAUCCUCUACAAAUUGUUCAUGAUGUUUGUUCAAAUUGUUUGGCUUCAGGGGAGAUGACCUCAGAUGAUCUACUUGCUGCAUUUCAUUCCGUUUAGUCCAUUAUAACUCCUAUAACUGUUUGCAAGACACUAAAGGAACUUUCUACUACUAAGGGACUAAACCAGGAAUGAGGCUGGAGGGAUGACCCUCACAUCAGGUGCAGAUGUUCGGUGCUUCCUUCUCAAAGCGCUGACUGCACGUGAGUCUGCAUCCUCAGCCAGCUCUCACAGGUAAUCGCAUGGCAGACCCACCCAGACCUGCGGACCUCUGUCCCCUUUGCUCAAAGUUAGAUUUAAAUUCUAAAUCCAUUUGAAACCUUUUUGCAAGAAGUCUCCUGCCAACCCAUCAAGACAGCUAGACUAAAUCCCAAAGGAGUAAAUAAUUUGACAGGCAAACCCAUAAUAUGUUGCAAUCCUCACAUACUAAGUUAAUGGGAAUUUUUUUGUUCUUAACCUUUCUUUUAGGGUUAGAAAUCUCUCAGCUGGAAUUCCAUCACCUCCACUAGUUCUGUUUGUAGUAGUGCUUCCUAAGGUCCACUUGUCUUCACAUUCCAGGAUGUCUGGUUCUAGAUUAAUUCCUUGUCGGUUGCAUCAUUUGCAAAUAUUUUCUCCCAGUCUAUGCCCAUCAGCAGAUGAAUGGAUAAGGAAGCUGUGGUACAUAUACACCAUGGAAUAUUACUCAGCCAUUAAAAAGAAUUCAUUUGAACCAGUCCUAAUGAGAUGGAUGAAGCUGGAGCCCAUUAUACAGAGUGAAGUAAGCCAGAAAGAUAAAGAACAUUACAGCAUACUGACACAUGUAUAUGGAAUUUAGAAAGGUGAUAACGAUAACCCUAUAUGCAGAACAGAAAAAGAGACACAGAAAUACAGAACAGACUUUUGAACUUUGUGGGAGAAUGUGAGGGUGGGAUAUUUCA